rnacentral:tRNA from 1 species
AAUAUAAAUAGUAUAUUUAACUUCCAAUUAAAAAGAUUAAUAAUUAAAUUAAUAUAAAUAAUUUA